rnacentral:rRNA from 1 species
UACCAGCUCUCCGAGUGGUAGGGAUGAUUAUUGGGCUUAAAGCGUCCGUAGCCGGCUUAGCAAGUCUCCUGUUAAAUUCAGCGACCUAAUCGUUGAGCCGCGGGAGAUACUACUAGGCUAGGAGGCGGGAGAGGUCGACGGUACUUCUGGGGUAGGGGUGAAAUCCUAUAAUCCCGGGAGGACCACCAGUGGCGAAGGCUGUCGACUAGAACGCGCUCGACGGUGAGGGACGAAAGCUGGGAGAGCGAACCGGAUUAGAUACCCGGGUAGUCCCAGCUGUAAACGAUGCGGGCUAGGUGUUGGGGUGGCUACGUGCCACUUCAGUGCCGCAGGGAAGCCAUUAAGCCCGCCGCCUGGGGAGUACGGCCGCAAGGCUGAAACUUAAGGAAUUGGCGGGGAGCACCACAAGGCGUGAAGCUUGCGGUUC